CGCUCACGUUGCUGUCGCUAAUGACGACACAGGCGGACGCUGGCGCCCAUUUCGCCAAAUAGCGCGCAGAGCGAAAAUCGUUAACGGGAAAGGCAAUAGCAGCGCGCAGAGCUAGUGGGGCAGCGCAGCAGCAGCAGCAGCAGCAGCAGCAGCAGCUACAUACAUAUGUCGACGUUGCGACGCGUCGUCGUUAUCGCAGUUAUAGUUCGCAGUUGAGUUGCGACGGCGACGCAGUUGUCUUCCCUUCCACAUUGCGAUUGGAUCGACCAGCGCCGGGCGGAGCGGGCGAAACGGGCGAAACGGUUCGGUUCGUUCGGUUCGUGCGAAGAGAAACGUAAAAAAGUUAUCAGAAAUCAAUGCGAUAAGCGGUUAAAGCGGGAAACGCCGCAG